rnacentral:rRNA from 1 species
AUUGAACGCUGGCGGCAUGCCUUACACAUGCAAGUCGAACGGUAACGGGUCUUCGGAUGCUGACGAGUGGCGAACGGGUGAGUAAUACAUCGGAACGUGCCUAGUAGUGGGGGAUAACUACUCGAAAGAGUGGCUAAUACCGCAUGAGGUCUACGGAUGAAAGCAGGGGAUCGCAAGACCUUGUGCUACUAGAGCGGCCGAUGGCAGAUUAGGUAGUUGGUGGGAUAAAAGCUUACCAAGCCGACGAUCUGUAGCGGGUCUGAGAGGACGAUCAGCCAGACUGGGACUGAGACACGGCCCAGACGCCUACGGGAGGCAGCAGUGGGGAAUUUUGGACAAUGGGCGCAAGCCUGAUCCAGCAAUGCCGCGUGCAGGAUGAAGGCAUUCGGGUUGUAAACUGCUUUUGUACGGACCGAAAAGCCCUGGGUUAAUACCCUGGGGUCAUGACGGUACCGUAAGAAUAAGCACCGGCUAACUACGUGCCAGCCGCCGCAGUAACAC